GAUGAAGAACGCAGCGAAAUGCGAUAAGUAAUGUGAAUUGCAGAAUUCAGUGAAUCAUCGAAUCUUUGAACGCACCUUGCACCCUUUGGACUGCUCCAAAGGGUAUGCUCGUUUGAGUGUCAUUGUACUCUCACACUCUCUGAUCCUUUGGAUUUGGGGAGCAGUGGACUUGGGUGCUUGCUGCUUCCUUGUGGCUCACCUGAAAUGCAUCAGUGCAUCUCUCGAUUGGACAUAGUACGGCGUGAUAAGUGUCUUCGCCGGCACCUCAUAUGAGGGUGGCCGAUCGGGAGCUCUGUGCUUUCAAACCGUCUUCGGACAACGCUGACAACUUGACCCCAAAUCGAGUAGGACUACCCGCUGAACUUAAGCAUAUCAAUAAGCGGAGGA
rnacentral:misc_RNA from 1 species